CCUACGGGAGGCUGCAGUGGGGGAUAUUGCACAAUGGGGGAAAGCCUGAUCCAGCGACGCCGCGUGAGUGAAGAAGUAUUUCGGUAUGUAAAGCUUCAUCAGUAGGGAAGUAAAUGACAGUACCUGACCAAGAAGCCCCGGUCAACUACGGGCCAGCAGCCGCGGCUAUACGUAGGGGGCAAGCGUUAUCCGGAUUUACUGGGUGUAAAGGGAGCGUAGACGGUUAUGUAAGUCUGGAGUGAAAGCCCGGGGCCCAACCCCAGGAUUGCUUUUGAAACUGUGUAACUGGAGUACAGGAGAGGCAGGCGGAAUUCCUGGUGUAGCGGUGAAAUGCGUAGAUAUCAGGAAGAACACCGACGGCGAAGGCAGCCUGCUAAACUGAAACUGACGUUGAGGCUCGAAAGCGUGGGGAGCAAACAGGAUUAGAUACCCCUGUAGUC
rnacentral:rRNA from 1 species